rnacentral:rRNA from 1 species
UACGUAGGGUGCAAGCGUUAAUCGGAAUUACUGGGCGUAAAGCGUGCGCAGGCGGUUUUGUAAGUCUGACGUGAAAGCCCCGGGCUUAACCUGGGAAUUGCGUUGGAGACUGCAAGGCUUGAAUCUGGCAGAGGGGGGUAGAAUUCCACGUGUAGCAGUGAAAUGCGUAGAGAUGUGGAGGAACACCGACGGCGAAGGCAGCCCCCUGGGUCAAGAUUGACGCUCAUGCACGAAAGCGUGGGGAGCAAACAGG